AUUGAACGCUGGCGGCAUGCCUUACACAUGCAAGUCGAACGGUAACAGGUCUUCGGAUGCUGACGAGUGGCGAACGGGUGAGUAAUACAUCGGAACGUGCCCGAUCGUGGGGGGUCACGCAGCGAAAGCUGUGCUAAUACCUCAUACGAUCUAAGGAUGAAAGCGGGGGAUCGCAAGACCUCGCGCCGGCGGAGCGGCCGAUGGCAGAUUAGGUAGUUGGUGGGAUAAUAGCUUACCAAGCCGACGAUCUGUAGCUGGUCUGAGAGGACGACCAGCCACACUGGGACUGAGACACGGCCCAGACUCCUACGGGAGGCAGCAGUGGGGAAUUUUGGACAAUGGGCGCAAGCCUGAUCCAGCCAUGCCGCGUGCAGGAUGAAGGCCUUCGGGUUGUAAACUGCUUUUGUACGGAACGAAAAAGCUCUCUCUAAUACAGGGGGUGAAUGACGGUACCGUAAGAAUAAGCACCGGCUAACUACGUG
rnacentral:rRNA from 1 species